CUGCCCAUUUUCAGGAGCAUGCAUACUAAAAUUAGUAUAAUACAGAGAAGAUUAACAUGACCCUUGUUCAAAUACAACACAUAAACUCAUAAGUUAUAUAUUUUA